UACGUAGGCAGCGAGCGUUGUUCGGAAUUACUGGGCGUAAAGAGUGUGUAGGCGGUGCUCUAAGUUCGGUGUGAAAUCUCCCGGCUUAACUGGGAGGGUGCGCCGGAAACUGGAGUGCUCGAGCGUGGGAGAGGAAAGCGGAAUUCCUGGUGUAGCGGUGAAAUGCGCAGAUAUCAGGAGGAACACCGGUGGCGAAGGCGGGUCUCUGGGCCGAAACUGACGCUGAGGAGCGAAAGCGUGGGGAGCGAACAGG
rnacentral:rRNA from 1 species